CAAUAACCUUACCGCAAAAGCUUUAACUGUAAGGUACCUUGAAAUGGUUAGUAUCUAUAAGAACAGGGUUUCAUAUAGAUUAGUAUUAUUUUCUUAAAUUUUAUAUUAGAACAUUACAAUUAAAUACAAUGUUCAAUAAUUAUGUAAUACAAUUCAAUACCCUGAUAUGAAAUUAAUAAUAUACUUUUCUUUAAUACAUGUAAUCAAAUUAAAUAACGCCCA
rnacentral:lncRNA from 1 species